UACAGAGGGGGCAAGCGUUGUUCGGAAUUACUGGGCGUAAAGGGCGCGUAGGCGGCCUUCUAAGUCGAACGUGAAAUCCCCGGGCUCAACCCGGGAACUGCGUCCGAUACUGGAAGGCUUGAAUCCGGGAGAGGGAUGCGGAAUUCCAGGUGUAGCGGUGAAAUGCGCAGAUAUCAGGAGGAACACCAGCGGCGAAGGCGGCGCUCUGGGCCGGUACUGACACUGAGGAGCGAAAGCGUGGGUAGCAAACAGG
rnacentral:rRNA from 1 species